UUGACGGAGAGUUUGAUCCUGGCUCAGGACGAACGCUGGCGGCGUGCUUAAUACAUGCAAGUCGAACGCUCUCGACCUUCGGGUCACAUGAGAGAGUGGCGAACGGGUGCGUAACACGUGAGAAACCUGCCCCAAAGACGGGAAUAGCCCGAGGAAACUCGGAUUAAUACCCGAUACCUCCACAAUGUCGCAUGGCAUUGUGAAGAAAGUUCAGGCGCUUUGGGAGGGUCUCGCGGCCUAUCAGCUUGUUGGUGAGGUAACGGCUCACCAAGGCAUCGACGGGUAGCUGGUCUGAGAGGACGAUCAGCCACACUGGGACUGAGACACGGCCCAGACUCCUACGGGAGGCAGCAGUAGGGAAUAUUGGACAAUGGGGGCAACC
rnacentral:rRNA from 1 species